rnacentral:rRNA from 1 species
CUAUGCAAGCCUCAUAAGAACUCUUUCACCCCCGAAAUUUCGUGAGCUGCCGGCUAUUUGUUAUAAAGCUACCCCAAGCCUAAAGCACCCACCACUAAAUGUCGCAAUAUUUUUGGAAAAAUCACCGGCAGAGGCUACAUACCAACCGCACCAAAACAUAGCUGGUUUCUAAGUACUCCCGACUUAAGCCGCCCUAGAGAGCCCUGCCUCCCUAUGAAAUAACACUAAGGACAAGCCUAGUGUGACCCUGGCCUAUUCCCACCCCUCAAACAACCCUAACACGUAGGCCUAAAACCAGCCCCCAUCACAUCACGUAAUAGACUAACCCAAAAUAAAAUCACAAACCAUCCAAUGCAAACCCCCUUAGUAAAGCGACACCCACCUCCCCGUCCCACUCCCCUGCACAGACUAGUAUUACCCCUAUAUAAGAGAAAGGAACUCGGCAAACCCGUAUUCCGCCUGUUUAACAAAAACAUCACCUGUGCGACUCCCCUAUCACAGGCCCAUCCUGCCCGGUGACCCGUUUAACGGCCGCGGUACCCUGACCGUGCUAAGGUAGCGAAAUCAUUUGCCCCUUAAUUGAGGGCCAGUAUGAAAGGACAAACGAGAAUACCCCUGUCUCUCUCUUACCCCUAAAAACUUAUCUCCGGGUGCAAAAGCCCGGAUCCCCAUAAAAGACAAAAAGUCCUCGUCGAGCUUUAACUCACGUAUACCCAACCGAUCCUCCCGGAAUGUCCCCCCCAUACAACGAGUUUUUGUUGGGGCAACAAUGAUGACCCUCUAACCCUCGCAUACACAUUAGACUCACAAGUCCCCCCAAAGACCCCCCACCGCUCUCAGGCAUUAGCUACCGCAGGGAUAACAGACUAAUUUCCCCACAAGAGUCCGAAUCAACUGGGGAGCUUGGCACCUCGAUGUUGGCUUAAGAUCCCCUAAACAGAUG